UUACUUACCUGGCAGGGGAGGUACCACGAUCAGGAAGGCGGUUCUCCCAGGAUAAGGCUCUCCCUUUGCACUCUGGGUGUGCUGCCUCCUGUGACUUCCCCGAAUAUGGGAAACUCAGCUGCAUAAUUUGUGGUAGUGGGGACUGCAUUCAUGCUCUCUUCU